GGAGAGAGAGAGCGAUAAAGAGAGAGAGAGAGAGAGAGAGAGAUCAUGAACAGCCAGUGGGCUCAUUGCUCAUCUGUGUCUUGCUGACGGAGAGGCUGUUUUUCAUGACUAAGUAUUUGGGUUCUCCUAUGUUAUGUAGUACUGUCCUAUGUGUGGUUGUCUUCUAGUCGUAUACCCAAACCCAUGUUCAGCAGUACUAUUUCAGCAGUCUCUUUUUUAAAGAUACUCACAGUACAACUAUGAAACCCAUGUUCAGCAGUACUAUUUCAGCAGUCUCGUUUUUAAAGAUACUCACAGUACAACUAUGAAACCCAUGUUCAGCAGUACUAUUUCAGCAGUCUCUUUUUUAAAGAUACUCACAGUACAACUAUGAAACCCAUGUUCAGCAGUACUAUUUCAGCAGUCUCGUUUUUAAAGAUACUCACAGUACAACUAUGAAAUCCGAGACGUGCAAAAGAAAAGGUACAUGUUUAGCAAUAGAAUGGCAUUAACUGUUACCCCUUCAUCUGAUCAUUAUAGUUUGAAAACUGGUUGUAAUCAAGUUGUAAACCUGUUAUAAUGACAACAUUUACCUGUCGAUAGUGAUCAAUGACUUGUGAAACUGCAUUUUAAUAAGAACCAUGUCUGUUUCAAAGGUACCUUUUAACUACAGGUCUCAGACCAGCUGACUCGACCCCCACUCCUAAUCUUAACCAUUGGGACAUGAGAAGCAAAGCUGACCUCAGAGCAGCUCCUUUUUGUGACUAUGACCAUUUCUUUUGCCUUGUCAGCUGCCAGUUGUAUCCUAUGAACAGUAUGCUACUUCUAGCCUGGUCCCCUAUCUGUUUGUGCUGUCUUCUCAGAUCUGGAACCAGGCUAUGCCCCCCCCCCCUGCCCAGUCCCUUUGUUGAUAGGCCAAGGCAAAAUGUCAGACUGUUACCUCGCCGAGUUAUUUUGACUGCGAAUGGAUGUUGACCCUUUUUUUCUGAUACUAUAUAGCCUCCUCUAUAUUUGUACUACUAGCUACUACCUUUAUUUUGUAUACCCUGAGAAUUUAAUGAGAAGCAUUGGUACAGUAGUGCCAAGUUCAUUUUGUGGAAAGCUGGGUCAUAUUCAUUAGGGCGCACCGUAGCAAAAUGUUUUGCAAUGGGGGGCGACAAGUGUUUCUUAUUGGCCAAAAGAAGGAAGACCUUCUCUGUUUCAGUCCAUUUUCUACAGCUUGGUAUAUAAUGAAUAUGACACUGUUGGGCCAGGAUGUCUUAAGACUGUUGGUUUUGCUCCAGGCAGGGAAGAAUGUCUCACGUUUCACUGACUUCCUAAUAUGGAUGCUGCACUAUCCUGCCAUUGACUGACAGCAGGCUUUAGCAACUACAGUUGAAGUUGGAAGUUUACAUACACUUAGGUUGGAGUCAUUAAAACUCGUUUUUCAACCACUCUACAAAUUUCUUGUUAACAAACUAUAGUUUUGGCAAGUCGGUUAGGACAUUUACUGUGUGCAUGACACAAGUCAUUUUUCCAACAAUUGUUUAGAUACAUUAUUUCACAUAUAAUUCACUGUAUCACAAUUCCAGUGGGUCAGAAGUUUACAUACACUAAGUUGACUGUGCCUUUAAAGAGCUUGGAAAAUUCCAGAAAAUGAUGUCAUGGCUUUACAAGCUUCUGAUAGGCUAAUUGACAGCCUUGAGUCAAUUAGAGGUGUACCUGUGGAUGUAUUUCAAGGCCUACUUUCAAAUUCAGUGUCUCUUUUCUUGACAUCAUGGGAAAAGAAAGAAAUCAGCCAAGACCUCAGAAAAGACAUGUAGACCUCCACAAGUCUGGUUCAUCAUUGGGAGCAAUUUACAAACGCCUGAAGGUACCAUGUUCAUCUGUACAAACAAUAGUACGCAAGUAUUAACAUCAUGGGACCACGCAGCCGUCAUACCGCUCAGGAAGGAGACUGUUCUGUGUCCUAGAGAUGAACGUAUUAUGGUGCGAAAAGUGCAAAUCAAUCCCAGAACAACAGCAAAGGACCUUGUGAUGAUCCUGGAGGAAACAGACGAGUCCUAUAUCGACAUAACCUGAAAGGCCCCUCAGCAAGGAAGAAGCCACUGCUCCAAACCGCCAUAAAAAGCCAGACUACGGUUUGCAACUGCAAAUGGGGACGAAGAUCGUACUUUAUGGAGAAAUGUCCUCUGGUCUGAUGAAACAAAAAUAGAACUGUUUGGCCAUAUUGACCAUCGUUAUGUUUGGAGGGAAAGGGGGAGGCUUGCAAGCCGAAGAACACCAUCCCAACGAUGAAGCACGGGGGUGGCAGCAAUAUGUUGUGGGGGUGCUUUGCUGCAGGAGGGACUGGUGCACUUCACAAAAUAGAUGGCAUCAUGAGGAAUGAAAAUUAUAUUGAAGCAACAUCACAAGACAUAAGUCAGGAAGUUAAAGCUUGGUUGCAAAUGUGUCUUCCAAAUGGACAAUGACCCCAAGCAUGCUUCCAAAGUUGUGGCAAAAUGGCUUAAGGACAACAAAGUCAAGGUAUUGGAGUGGCCAUCACAAAACCCUGACUUCAACCCUAUAGAACAUUUGUGGGCAGAACUGAAAAAUCGUGUGCGAGUAAGGAGGGCUACAAACCUGACUCAGUUACACCAGCUCUGUCAGGAGGAAUGGGCCACAAUUCACCUAACUUAUUGUGGGAAACUUGUGGAAGGCUACCCGAAAUGUUUGACCCAAGUUAAACAAUUUAAAGACAAUGGUACCAAAUAUUAAUUGAGUGUAUGUAAACUUCUGACCCACUGGGAAUGUGAUGAAAUAUAAUAAUUAAUUAUCUCUACUAUUAUUCUGACAUUUCACAUUCUUAAAAUAAAGUGGUGAUCCUAACUGAAUUCUUACUACGAUUAAAUGUCAGGAAUUGUGAAAAACUGAGUUUAAAUGUAUUUGGCUAAGGUGUAUGUAAACUUCCGACUUCAACUGUAUGUGAUAUACACUGAGAGUACAAAACAUUAAGAACACCUUCCUAAUAUUGAGUCCCCUCCUAUGUUGACUCCAAUGAUUCCCACAGUUGUGUCAAGUUGGCUGGAUGUCCUUUGGGUGGUGGGCCGUUCUUAAUACACACAGGAAAUUGUUGAGCGUGAAAAACCCAACAGCGUUGUGCCUGGCACCUACUACCAUACCCUGUUCAAAGGUACUUCAAACUUUUGUCUUGCCCAUUCAAUCUCUAAAUGGUAUACAUACACAAUACAUGUCUCAAUUGGCUCACCUGAAUUCACCUGGUCAGUCUUUGUCAUGGAAAGAGCAGGUGUUCAUAAUGUUUUGUACACUCAGGGUUCAUGAAGCCAUAGCAACUAUGUGAUAUACAUGUAGCUAUAGCAACUAUGUGAUCUACAUGUAGCUAUAGCAACUAUGUGAUAUACAUGUAGCUAUAGCAACUAUGUGAUAUACAUGUAGCUAUAGCAACUAUGUGAUAUACAUGUAGCUAUAGCAACUAUGUGAUAUACAUGUAGCUAUAGCAACUAUGUGACUGUUAGUUCAUUAUAUUGAACAAUGUGUAUUCCUUGAGGGUAUGCUACUGUACAAGUAAUUGUAAUUCUGUCUCUUUUGUCUAUCAUGCAUGUUUGGUUCUGAGAGAGAAGGUUGACAGCACUGUCACCAGUGUAACUGUAUGUAUCAUCAUUGCAGCUAUUGAUUAUAAUAAACAUAUUAAUGAUGAAGAUAUUGAUUAUAAUAAACAUAUUAAUGAUAAAGCUAUUGAUUAUAAUAAACAUAUUCAUGAUGAAGGUAUUGAUUAUAAUAAACAUAUUAAUGAUAAAGCUAUUGAUUAUAAUAGGCUUCCUAAAGCUUAACGCUUGUUGAUGGUGGUAUUUGUUAAUUUGAUGCUAUUGUCCGUUGACCAGUCUCAGCCCCUUUUUCAGAAACGUGACAUUAUGAAUAUCUCAUUGGUUCAUUCUGUAUUCCCUGUGUGUAGCAAAUAUACAGACUAAUGACAUGGUGAUUUCUAAUCCAUCUCUCGGUGUAACACAUGCUACAACUGUACUCUGACGUUGUUGACCUGGUUCUUUUCUAUCUCAACCAGUGCUUUUUCAGAUGCUUCAUUGCGUAUUAGGUUGAAUAUUUAUGUCACUCUCACCUACAGGUCCUGGUUUUGACCAUAUUGCACUUGGUUGUCCACAAUGAUUAUUAUGAAACAAACUGUGGAUUUUGUGUGGAAAUAAAUGUUGCAAAGUGCUGCACAAACUCUA